CCUACGGGCGGCAGCAGUGGGGAAUAUUGGGCAAUGGGCGCAAGCUUGACCCAGCAACGCCGCGUGAAGGAAGAAGGCUUUCGGGUUGUAAACUUCUUUUCUCAGGGACGAAGCAAGUGACGGUACCUGAGGAAUAAGCCACGGCUAACUACGUGCCAGCAGCCGCGGUAAUACGUAGGUGGCAAGCGUUAUCCGGAUUUACUGGGUGUAAGGGGCGUGUAGGCGGGAAAGCAAGUCAGAUGUGAAAACCAUGGGCUCAACCUGUGGCCUGCAUUUGAAACUGUUAGUCUUGAGUACUGGAGAGGCAGACGGAAUUCGUAGUGUAGCGGUGAAAUGCGUAGAUAUUAGGAAGAACACCAGUGGCGAAGGCAGUCUGCUGGACAGCAACUGACGCUGAGGCGCGAAAGCGUGGGGAGCAAACAGGAUUAGAUACCCUUGUAGUC
rnacentral:rRNA from 1 species